AAAAAAGGCCAUUUUAGAAGCGGCCGAUCCCUCCACGAUAACCUGUCACUGGCAGCAAACGGGUCCCUCUCCUCCCGACUGGCUCUCUCGCCUUUGCUUGCUUCAAGCCCUUCUCAACAUGAAGCUCGACGAGUUUUUGAUGAAGUUGAACAAUGAAACGGUGUCGAUUGAGCUCAAGAACGGCCACCAUCACAGGCUUGGGGCUGUAGGGGCUGAGGAAUUUCAAUUUGUUGUUCAACUCAAAAGGAAAAUUCAUGUUUGAGAGGUCUGGAGCAGCUUACGUGAUUCCAUAUCCACAACAGUAGCAGAGCAAUGGCUUUGCUGAAUAGAAAACUUGGGUCCUUAUUGGUUUCCACAUCUGUCAACUACAAUCCCUGCUUUGCACUACCCAAAUCCACCACCAUCCACUCUCGCUCUCUCUCGCAAUUAAACAAUAAUGAUUCAAUUGUCAAUUCCAUCUCUGAUUCAUUCAAGAAAACCCAUAACUGGGAUACUCUCACCAAGACCUUCUCUUCUGUCCAAUUAACCCAUUCUCUUGUUCAACAAGUACUCCUCCAACUGAAGCAGCCCGAGCAUGCAAGAUCUGCUCUAAAUUUCUUUUAUUGGUCAGCAAAGUCCCAAAACUUUCGACACCAAAUCUAUUCUUACUGCAUUGCGAUUCAUAUUCUAGUCCAUGCAAAACAACUCCCUGAAGCUAAAAUAUUGCUCCACUCAGCUUUAAAAACAAGUGAACCCGAUUCAACAAGAUCCUGCAUAUUGGAAUCUUUACUGGGCAGUUACAAUGUUGUUGGUUCCAGUCCUUUGGUGUUCGAUUUACUGGUUCAGGCCUAUGCAAAGUUGAGAAUGUUGGAGGAUGCUUUUGAGGUUUGUUGUUACUUAGAGAAUCAUGGAUUUUCUUUGACCUUGUUAAGUUUUAAUGCUUUGCUUCAUGGGAUACUGAAAUCUGGUGAAAAUGUGAUGGUUUGGAAGGUUUAUGAGCACAUGAUUGAUAAAAGAAAAUACCCCAAUGAAAUUACAAUAAGAACAAUGAUUAGUGCUUUGUGUAAGGAAGGGAAGUUGCAAGUUGUUAUGGAUUUGCUGGACAAGAUUGUUGGCAAGAGAUGCUCACCAAUAGUUGUUGUUAAUGCACAUUUGGUGUUUAAGGUUAUAGAACAGGGUAGAAUUGAAGAUGGUAUCGAAUUAUUGAAGAGAAUGUUGCAAAAAAAUUUAAUUCUUGAUACCAUUGCUUACUCUUUUGUUGUCUAUACUAAAUUGAAGCUUGGGAAUUUGGAAUUGGCAUGGGAGGUGCAUGAAGAAAUGCUUAAGAGAGGAUUUAUUGCCAACUCUUUUUUGUUUUCAUCGUUUAUAAGAGCGUAUUCUGAAAGAGGAAGAAUUCAUGAAGCAGAAAACAUGUUGCAAGAGAUGGAAAAUAUGGGUUUGAAGCCGUAUGAUGAAACUUUUAAUUAUCUAAUUGAGGGUUGUGCUAAAGCAGGAGAAAUGAAGGCAAGUGUGAGACACUGUGAGGAAAUGAUUAGGAGGGGACUUGUUCCUAGUUGUUCCACUUUUAAUGAGAUGGUGAGAGGGCUUUGCAAAAUUGGGGAUUCAGAGAAUGCUAAUGCGCUCUUAACUCUUGUUUUAGAUAAAGGGUUCUUACCUAAUGAGAUCACAUAUUCUCAUCUUAUUGCUGGUUAUGGAAAAGAGGGGAACAUUCAACAGGUUUUCAAACUCUACUAUGAAAUGGAGUACAAAUCAUUGUCUCCUGGAUUACCAGUUUUUACGGCCUUGAUCAGAAGUCUGUGUCACUGUGGAAAACUAGAGGAAGCAGAAAGGUAUUUAAGAAUAAUGAAAGAUCGUUCUGUGGUCUUGAGUGAGGACAUAUGUGAAGCUUUAAUCACUUGUCACUUCGAAAAGGGUAACAAAACAGGGGCUGGUCUCAUAUAUAAUGAAAUGGUUGCAAGAGGAAUGAAGCCCCAGAAGUGGGGGAAUUUUACACAAAUAUCUGAGGCUGUAGAAGGAAGUGACUAGCGUGAAGGACAUUGCAAAGACAAUCCCUGAAAGGUAAUAAAUUGCAAGGACAACCUUUGAUGAUAGUGAUUAAUAGACUUCACCCCAAGUGGCCUGGGCUUCCUAUGUCAGCAUACAUGCAUUUCUAGUUAUGCAGAGACACUAGGUAGUUGGCACUGAACUUCUUGAAAGUUUAGUGAAAAUGGCUCCGAAAAAGAAAGAGCAUAAGGUGUAGGAGUGUAAAGAUAAUUCAUCACUCAAGGUAGGUAAUAACUCAUACAGCCAUUGGGGAUCUAUCAUGACAAGUCAGAACUUAAUUUGUUGAUGAUGCAAAUUUUUGCACUAGAGAAAUGCAAGAGUAUAGACUAUAGACAAUGGAGAGGUAGGCUUUCAAGGCACUACAGAACGUAUAGAACAGAUACAGAACAGUUGGCAGACGCUCCUAUAUAUGCAUAGAAAUGAAUGUUAAUCUAUAAUGUGUGUAUUUGCUUUAGAAGAAUUUUAGGUUCAGGUUUUUUUUAAAAAUUUUGCUGUUACUUUUGCAUUUUCUGAAAAAAAAAGAGUAAAAUCUCUAGUUGAUUUUUUUUUGGUCCAAAUAAAUUUCAAUUAACUCAAUAUGGUUCAUUAAUACAGAUAAGAAGUAUUACAAAUACAGUGAAUAAAGCAUCUCAAGUGGUCAAGUAUACUGUGGGUCUCGUUUCUUUUGUGGAAAAAGAUCAUAACUCUGGAAUGUAUUUAUUAAGUCAUUGGUUGUGAUGUCUAACCUGUUUCUUCCAAGUAUUGAUUGGUUGAGUGUAUUUCAAUUUUUGAGUGUUUAUUUUGUUGUACAUAAAGUGAGCUCUGAAUCUCAAACUCUGUGGAAUAUAAAAUACUGAUUAAAGGAGAAAGCAUGAGUUUUGUUUACUUGAUUGUAAGCAGAAACAUAUUGAGUAGGUGGUGUUGUUGGCACGUAUUGCUAUUGUUUUGUUGGUAACCACCAAUAUUGCUUCUCAUAAUUUCUCUAUUCUUUAUGGCAGAGGGAUCCAAUCACCCAAGAACUUCCUGAUGCUGCUUUAUCUGGUUAUGGUGAGCAUACAAGGAAAUCAUCAGAAGGUGACAUUUUUGGCCUGAUGAAAAGUCUUAGCAAAUGAAUUUAUGAUCGUUUACUUGUUGCCAUUUUGUUGAUCUCAAAAAUAAAUAUCUCUGUUUAAUAACUAUAAAUUAAAAAGGUUCAUAAUUUAUGCUGGAUCAGCUUAUGUAAUGUGUAGAAUAUGAACUUUCUAUGACUAGAGAUGCAGGGUCAGCUUAUGGAAUGUGUGGAACACGAACAUUCUAUGACUGGAUAGGAUAUUUGGCAUUAGGUCAGCUUAUGUUCGUGGCAAGGAGAGUGGAUGGAAGGGUAAGAUUAAGGUUUCUACUUCUAAUGUGGAAAGAGAGUUUGAAGUGGUGCAAAGCCUCUGAGAAAACAUAGAGGAUGAGCAGAUGAAAAGGGAAAGGUUGGAGGGUUGAAUGGAACCGCAAGUUGAGGAGAGACUUGGGCAGUGCUCCGAUUAAAUGUUUACCAUGUGCAUGCAGUAGAUGCUAUUGGUUAUGCAUUCAAUAGCAUUAUCCUCAUCCCAACAAGCUCACAGUGUAUCAAAGGUCUGCAUCAAAUCACGAUUCUAAGAUAUUUCUAUAUUGUUUCUCUUUGUUGGUUUGCUUUAUAUAAUUUUCUUAUGGGCCUAUAUGGAAAAUGUAAUAUCAGCUCAUCUACUUAGACUGGCAAUACCCUUGAAACAAUAAAUUCUCCAUGAAAGUACAGAAGGCCUUUGUAAUAGCUGGUCUCGAUUUUUCCAAUCAUGUUUGUUUUCAGGUU